rnacentral:rRNA from 1 species
UACGUAGGGUGCGAGCGUUAAUCGGAAUUACUGGGCGUAAAGCGUGCGCAGGCGGUUUUGUAAGCCAGAUGUGAAAGCCCCGGGCUUAACCUGGGAAUGGCAUUUGGGACUGCAAGGCUUGAGUGCGGCAGAGGAGACUGGAAUUCCUGGUGUAGCAGUGAAAUGCGUAGAUAUCAGGAGGAAUACCGAUGGCGAAGGCAGGUCUCUGGGCUGACACUGACGCUCAUGCACGAAAGCGUGGGGAGCAAACAGGAUAGAA